rnacentral:lncRNA from 1 species
GAUGAACAGAACGUAUCUCGAUGACAGCUGAGUCUGUUCAGUGGAUCGAGGCAGAGCAGAAUAACCAGAAGCAUAGUCGCCCAGAAGAGGUGGCAUGCUCUCCCUUUCUCAGAAUAGUCCUGCGAGCUACAGAAAGGGCUCUCAGAACUUUUGCAGACCGCAAACAUCAAAAGGACCAGAGAUAUUUUUAUAGUGAUUCGGCUGCCCACGGCAAUGCAGUCAACCUUGAUUUUCUUUCAGCCUGGGAAGCGAUCAGCAAAGAGGCUCAGCAAACAGCUUUAACAUCUGAGGCCAAAAAAGAAGCAUAAAAAUUUGCUUUCAUAAACACCUCCUGGGAAGGUUGAUGCCUUA